CUGUUAAUGGAAAGAAAUCUACAUCCAUAGCAUCUUUGCUGGCUACAGCAGCUGUUAAAACAACUGUGUCUCCAUAACGAACCAAAACGGCCCCAUUUGCUUGUUUGGCUAACUGUCCUAUUUCAACUGUUAAAGGGCGUCCGCCAAGUUCAGUUGUAAAAACUUGUUUUUCUGUCAUUAUUUGUUCUCCUUUUUUAUCGAGAACCAUUGAUAUCCCAGCAAUCUACUAAACAAAUGUCAGUAUUUAAAGUUUAAACGCUCACAUUUGCAUAGUAGGAUAACGGAUACUUCAAUG
rnacentral:antisense_RNA from 1 species